rnacentral:tmRNA from 1 species
GGGGAUGCAAGGCCUAGACAGUUGGCCUCUUGCCCUUGAUGCAUACCGAGCAUGGGCGUAAUCUCGUAAAACUUCGCUCAAUAGCUUAAUUGCAAAAUUAGCUUCCAAAGUGAAGGCAAUUGCUUCUCCGUACUUCGGUAUGGGUGAGUUUGCUUUCGCUCACGUUUCCGCUUCGGCUUAAGCGUGUGUCUCUCUUAUUGACUUCCGAUAAAUAAGACGGGCAUAACAUUAUCGGGAUAGCCCCGACGCGGCUUCGCCGUCGGGGCAAAACAUAGAAGAUCGAUUGAAAAAUAUUUGGCGCGUUUCUUAAUUUUUUAAUUUAAACCUGCAAGCGCGCUAUGUAUGUAGAUUUUAAGGCAGGCACCUUCUGCACGGGGAUUCGAUUUCCCCCAUCUCCACAA